UUCGAGUGGCGGACGGGUGAGUAACGCGUGGGUAACCUGCCUUACACAGGGGGAUAACACCUGGAACAGGUGCUAAUACCGCAUAAGCGCACAGGGCCGCAUGGCCCGGUGUGAAAAACUCCGGUGGUGUAAGAUGGACCCGCGUCUGAUUAGCUUGUUGGCGGGGUAGAGGCCCACCAAGGCGACGAUCAGUAGCCGGCCUGAGAGGGUGGACGGCCACAUUGGGACUGAGACACGGCCCAAACUCCUACGGGAGGCAGCAG
rnacentral:rRNA from 1 species